rnacentral:lncRNA from 1 species
CUGUCCAUCGAGCUGGUUUUGCCGUCCUCUCCCGCAUCAUGCGCACCCCGAUGAGGUCAUAGUCGUGGCGGCUAUUCUCGUGGUCCUCUUCAUUGUAGGCCUCGUGUACUACAUGACGACCUCAGAGACUGCGCUGCUUUGCGCCCUGACUGCCCCCUAUCGGCUGCCGAGCGGUGCCACAGAGCGAGGCCUGGUCUCCUGGAAGCAGCUGCCGGAGCCCGGUGUCUGCGAUUACUUCAUCCUAGACAUUGAGCCCAACGCGGACGGUUCAUACGAUGAGUCGCAGUACCGCUUCUUGCUGGACCAGAAGUCUUCG